rnacentral:rRNA from 1 species
UGGGGGAAUAUUGGACAAUGGGCGCAAGCCUGAUCCAGCCAUGCCGCGUGAGUGAUGAAGGCCCUAGGGUUGUAAAGCUCUUUUGUGCGGGAAGAUAAUGACGGUACCGCAAGAAUAAGCCCCGGCUAACUUCGUGCCAGCAGCCGCGGUAAUACGAAGGGGGCUAGCGUUGCUCGGAAUCACUGGGCGUAAAGGGUGCGUAGGCGGGUCUUUAAGUCAGGGGUGAAAUCCUGGAGCUCAACUCCAGAACUGCCUUUGAUACUGAGGAUCUUGAGUUCGGGAGAGGUGAGUGGAACUGCGAGUGUAGAGGUGAAAUUCGUAGAUAUUCGCAAGAACACCAGUGGCGAAGGCGGCUCACUGGCCCGAUACUGACGCUGAGGCACGAAAGCGUGGGGAGCAAACAGGAUUAGAUACCCUGGUAGU